UCCACAUUGGGUCAGUGUGGGUACAGGUUUUCAUUCCAACCAAGCGGGGACCCCAUCUGAUUCCGCCUGUGUAAUCAGUCGAUCUUACAUUUCGAUGGAUUAUCAGUUGUAUUUGACUGCUACAAUAUAAUACUAAGAGGGAGGAACAUUUAUUAUUAUAAAGUAAGCAGUAGAUCAUAUCAGUGCAUCUUGUUGGUUGCUUUUCUUUUGAACCGUCAUAAUUUGAUUUGUUUCUCUUUGCUGUAAUCCAGCAUUUUACCAAUUCCUGGUGACAGAAGAUUACCUACCUGCUUUUAUCUUAUGGACCGCUUUCAUCUCCUCUUCUACGCUUAGUCCCUUAUUAUUCCAGAGCAUAGACACAAGAAGACCAUCAACAAGUUUUGCAGUGUACUGUAUUAAUAUUUCCGUGUAGGAUUUUAUUUAAUUUUGUUUUUUUGAAAGAAAUUAUUUCUGUUGUGAGUUUUCAUUUAUCAUAAAGGUGCAUGAGUUGUAGUUGGAAAAUCAGUUAAAUAAAUAAAUAAAUAAACAAACAAACAAACAAACAAUUGUCUGCCAGCAUCGUAUAAAUGCAAAGAAAAAAAUAUAAAAUGCAAAGAAAAAUGAUGUUUAAUUUACAGCAAUACCACAUUUCGUAUGCUAUAAAAGUAAUUUUGUGAUUUUUUUUUUUUUUGUGGCAAAAAUGUGUUUUUAUAUUUAGUGCACAUUAAUGUAUUAUAAAAAAUAUAUACAUAAAUAAAUAAAUAAAAAUAAAUAAAUUAAAGUCUUUUACUAGUCUAAAAUAUACAGACUAGGAAACAUUUUACACAUUUUACAUAAUCAUCGCUUCCAUAUUUGACACUUUUAUUACA